UACGUAGGGUGCAAGCGUUUGUCCGGAAUUAUUGGGCGUAAAGAGCUCGUAGGCGGUCUGUCACGUCGGCUGUGAAAUCCCGAGGCUCAACCUCGGGUCUGCAGUCGAUACGGGCAAACUAGAGUAUUGCAGGGGAGACUGGAAUUCCUGGUGUAGCGGUGAAAUGCGUAGAUAUCUGGAGGAACACCGGUGGCGAAGGCGGCAUCCUGGACCAAUACUGACACUGAGGAGCGAAAGCCAGGGGAGCAAACGGG
rnacentral:rRNA from 1 species